rnacentral:rRNA from 1 species
UACGUAGGGGGCAAGCGUUGUCCGGAUUUACUGGGCGUAAAGAGCGCGCAGGCGGUCGUUCAAGUCGGGUGUGAAAGCCCCCGGCUCAACUGGGGAGGGUCACGCGAUACUGAUCGACUGGAAGGCAGGAGAGGGUAGAGGAAUUCCCGGUGUAGUGGUGAAAUGCGUAGAUAUCGGGAGGAACACCAGUGGCGAAGGCGACUACCUGGCCUGUUAUUGACGCUGAGGCGCGAAAGCUAGGGGAGCAAACGGG